GAUUUUAGUAAAUAACAAGGGUCAAAUUGGUAAUUUUUCGUACAUUCACCGCCAAAAUAAAGAGCCUUGAGUACUAGAAGAAAAGCACCUAGACCUAACAAAAUUAAGUGAAUACCCAAAAUUGUAGUCAUUUUAUUUCAAGAAAGUAUAGGUUUCUCCCUA
rnacentral:antisense_RNA from 1 species